UGACAGGUAACUACAUCAUACAUUGCCUUUGAAUUCAGCGGAUAAGUUUGACUUAUCUGACUGCUUUGUUUCACUGAAUGCGCCUUAUAAACAGACCCAUUCAUCAACAGUGCGCCUUAUAAUCCAGUGCGCCUUAUGGUCCAAAAAAUAUGGUAGGUAAAUAGUGGAGGAGUGGCUUUAUAAUAAAGCCUACUUUUUGUUUGUGUUCAGGGCAUUGAACACAGUGCAGAUGUCACACAGUGGAAAUUUGUGUUCGUUUUAGGGUUUUUGUUGUUUUGAUUGUAAUAUAUUCGUGCAUACAGUACUGAUUUUAUUUGCAUGGUUUUACCCUGAUAUUUAUGUUGCAUGUUUUAGUGUUGUUGCAUGAUAUUAUUUUAAUCCACUGUUGACUGGGCGGACAAUAGCAGGCAAUUGUUGAAGUGUGGGCGUGCCCUGAGGCAGCCGUGUUUGCAGUAAUCGAGAGCCCAAGUGUGGAGUGCAGCUGGGCUGUGUGGCGACGCGCCCAUUAGGAAGAAACAGGGCUGAGACAGGAGGUUCCUCCUUGGUUUUCUGGCUGGCGUGGUCUGUCCCUCAGAAGAGGAAUUUCUAUCCUGGUUUUAAAGAUAAGAAACAUUUGCCCGAGCGUGGCCAGACAGUGGUAUUUUUUUUUUUUUUUUUGCAUAGUGUAUAUUUAUUCCUGUCGGCAGGGAUUUUAGCAUACUGAAAAUGUUUUUAUUGCAUAAAGGUCCUUUUAAAAUUGUGUUUGUAAUUCUGAAUUUCUUCCUUCUUGGGAAUAAAUGGUGUAUUUAAGACCUGCUCAGUCUCUGCACCCUGAGAACUGAUUUACUUGCUCCCCUCGUCCUUGUACGUGAAAGAACUUUCAGGUGGGAUAUUUAGACCUACCAGCCUUAGUAGCUACACAAACAACAACUUCAACACAAGUAACACAAAACUACUUAUCCUAUUUAUCCCAGGGUUUAUCAAUCUAUCUAGGAGUGCAUUUUAAGGCACACCUAGAUAACUCUACCACUGCAUCGACUUAACACCAGAAUUCCUCUUUGUCUUCUGGCAUGUGAGGCAUACACAUUCACAUUUCAACAUUAUCCCUUUGAUUUCCAGCUGCAAACUCACAGUUCCAUAUAAGACUUCUUUGUGCUCUUCAACAAUAUUCAUAUACUUUUGGUACAACAAUUUCAAAUGGGUGGCUUUGGC
ensembl:lncRNA